rnacentral:misc_RNA from 1 species
UCUCCGUUGGUGAACCAGCGGAGGGAUCAUUACAGUGUUGCAAAACUCCCAAACCAUUGUGAACGUUACCUAUCCCGUUGCUUCGGCGGGCGGCCCGGGCCCCGCGCCCGGCGCCCCCCGCCCCCCCGUGGGCGCCCGCCGGAGGUAAACCAAACCCUUGAAUUGCAUGGCCUCUCUGAGUCUUCUGUACUGAAUAAGUCAAAACUUUCAACAACGGAUCUCUUGGUUCUG